rnacentral:rRNA from 1 species
CACGUAGGGUGCGAGCGUUGUCCGGAAUUAUUGGGCGUAAAGAGCUCGUAGGCGGUGUGUCGCGUCGGCCGUGAAAACCUGGGGCUUAACUCUGGGCGUGCGGUCGAUACGGGCAUCACUGGAGUUCGGCAGGGGAGACUGGAAUUCCUGGUGUAGCGGUGAAAUGCGCAGAUAUCAGGAGGAACACCGGUGGCGAAGGCGGGUCUCUGGGCCGAUACUGACGCUGCAGCGCGAAAGCUAGGGGAGCAAACAGG